rnacentral:rRNA from 1 species
UACGGGGGGGGCAAGCGUUGUUCGGAAUUACUGGGCGGAAAGGGCUCGUAGGUGGCCAACUAAGUCGGACGUGAAAUCCCUCGGCUUAACCGGGGAACUGCGUCUGAUACUGGAUGGCUUGAGUUCGGGAGAGGGAUGCGGAAUUCCAGGUGUAGCGGUGAAAUGCGUAGAUAUCUGGAGGAACACCGGUGGCGAAGGCGGCAUCCUGGACCGACACUGACGCUGAGGAGCGAAAGCCAGGGGAGCAAACGGG